rnacentral:lncRNA from 1 species
CCUGGCGGGAACGCGGCGGCGGUCCUCUAUGGCCUCUGCGUGCGAGGGGCUUGGGACGGGCGGCGUGCACGGCGGUGCGCCGGCUGGGAGGGCUCGGGAAAGGGGAAAUAGCAGCCAAGGUGAGAAAGGAGCGUACGGAAAGGGUGGCAGGGCUGGCUGGUCCUCACCAGAUAGGUGAGACUAUGCAAGAUAAUCGUUGUCAGCUUAACGGAGAUGAGAACUAGGGGAAAAGUUUGCCUCUCUCUGAUUUCUAUAGCAAUUACAAUUAUAUACUGUAUAUUUCCAUCAUACCUCCACACCAUAAAAACCACAGAACAACUGUCAGGGUGAUACAGACAUUUACUAUAGUCAACAUAAGAUGCACGAAUUAAGGAGUAGAUUAAAGUCCUACUAACUUUUUUUUUUUCCUUCACAAGAUCCCAAUUAAAUUAAACCUAAAAAGAUAUUAAAACAUAAUGUAAUGCUAAAAUGGGAUGGAAAGUACCGCAGUAAUAGCAGGGCAGCAGUCUCCAGCUACAGCAAAUGAGAGCAAACCCAAGUACAGCAGCUACAGAAAUGAAGGAAAAGAGCCACUUACCUUUAGAAGGCCUCAGGUAUGCAAGGAUCCCCAGCAAAAAAACCCCUCACCUCCACUGCCAACCCUUAAAUGAGGUCUGGGAAGGUGUGGAUCCUGGCUCCACCUCUUCCAGACAUUCAGGUGCACUGCACUGCACUCGUGCUCCCCUGGGUUUGCCCUGCCUUCCACCAGGUGCUCAAUCACUGCUUGAGGUUGUGACACGUAUAAAUGGAACUGCUUUGUUUUCAGUGAAAAAAGGGUGUGAUAGAAGUAACCCUAGAAGAAGGUAACAAUAUGCUAAGGAAAUAGCUAUUCUGGGGCACUUCAUUCCUCGUGUAGAUAGGUUGUUGAGAUAACGGAGGCACAGAUAGUCUCACAGUAGACUUCUCCAUGGAGUUUCCUGUAGCCUGUGUUUCUCAGUUUCUGCUUCGUAUUGAAGUAGCUUAUCUAAUGCAACUUUCUGUGUUUCAAGACUGCAUGAAGUCUGCAACACAAGCAUGCUGAAAUUGCAUCAGUCUGACAAAAGCAAGGUGGUAGAUAAAAAACAUCUAUUUGUAUUUGAGCUUGCAAGCUAGCAAGUACCUGCAGUGUUUCUUUUCGUAUUCUUUUUUUGCAUAUUCUGCUCUUAAGGCAUGCUAUUGUUCCUUAGUGGGUGUGUUCUGUAACAUAAAACAACUGAAAAUACAGUCUCCUUGGAGCUUACAUAAACCACUAGCAUCCCCCUGGAGAGCAUAUUUUGGGAAGCUCUUAAAUGAAGUGUUCUGCUGGGAGCGUGGCAGUGGUGCUUCUGUACCAACUGACCGUGGCUGAUGAAGUGUGAAAACUGAUGCCUUCUCCUGUGUCAGCAACAUUCAAUUGGCAGGACUGGGGAAGAGCAAUAGGGAACAAGCUGUCAUUUUUUUCAAGUAUGCAUUCAGAGUGAUAGCAAAUCAUAAUUUGGUUUAGAAUUGUUGAGUCUUAUACAAACAAAAUUCCCUGCUAGAUAAUUCUUAAAAUAGUAUUUUUUAGGUCUUAUUAUUGCCUGAGGUUGUUUGGUGUUGUCACAUCCUGAAUAGGCAAUUCUAAAACAGCACAGGAAUGUUAUAAUUUAUUUAUUAAAAAAUGUACUUGUUGCUAAGCUUCACUCAGUGUUUUGCAAGGCAAUUACAAUUCACAUUUUGCCUCUAUAUUUAUUAUGAAGUUACUAAGCUGGAAAAACAACAACGAAAACCAAACUGAGUCUGUAUUUAGCAAAUAGAGUUAAAAGGUAAUAAUCUUUGAUGUAUAACUAUGCUUUCCAUGUCAGUUGAUUUUUUUUCCCCAAAUGUAUUUAUAUUACUUGAUUUGAUGUCUCCUUUUUGGUGGCUCUUGUUUCUUCUUCUGUCUUACUUAGUUUAAAGAAAAAAAAAUCAUAUUUUCCAAGUGGUGUAAAUGUUGUGUCAUCUUUAACUUAGGAAGAAGUAGCUUCUGAUAUGCCUCUAUCUUAAUGAUUUCUUUGUUGUGGCUGAAGUCACUGGUGAAUUCUUUCCUCUGCCAACAUUUUUAAUGAUUAGAAUACAUCAGUUUUGGAAGAGACUGCCAGUUCUUAACUCCUAGAAAUAAUCCCUUAUUUUAUCAGUGUUGUUCACCCAAACAGAUAAACCAAUUAAGUAUGAGAAUAGGUAGAAUCAAGACCCAGGGUUAGGUCACAUUAAAUCCUAUUUUACAGCCAUUGCUUACUAUAUAGAUGCAUGCCCAAGCACUUGCAGUGGGAUGUGUUGACUUCUGUGUGGAAGUCAGUGCAUAUGAGAAGAUCAUUAGGACUGCAAAGAGCCACACACAAGUUACCAAACACCAGCAUUAAGGUUAAUUCUGUGCAGCGUAAUGUCCUUUGGUGCACGCAUUGCAAUCACUUAGAAUGCUGUAUGAUGGUGGAUCCUCCCACUCCAGAAGGUCACCCCUGCGAAUGAGACUGUUCCCUUUGUCCCUCACCUUCAGCCCUGUUGCAGUUCUCAGCUUUCUCCAGAUCCUCCAGCUACCCAUCUCCUUCUCCAGUGAGCCAGGACAAGGCAUUCUGGCACUCAGUACCUCUUCCUUCCUUCUCCUGCUUGGAUCCUCCCUGUUACUGCUCCUUUUUUUGCUCACCACCUGCCGUGGACCGCUCAUCACAGGAGGCCUGAAAGGACUGCUGUCUCCCUUGAACAGAAUCGUUGUGGCUUUCUUUAUUUUUCUUUAACAACCAUUGGGGGGUUCUUCUUUCACUGCUAUUGCUGUGCACAGUGAUGGGUCGCUGUGGGUAGAGGAAGAACGUCGCCGCUCUGGCUCUGCUGCUUGACUUUUGUCACAAUAGGGCACAAUGCCUGUUGUGAACAGGGGAGUAAGAUCUGAGAGAAAUUGAUUCUCCAAACAAACUUUUCAGAGGCGUAGCAAUAGCAUCAUUUGAGCUAUUUUAUUUUUUAAUUGGGAAUCUGUUCUCCCCUUUUGAUUCCUCUACAGAAGUUCGGAUCAGCUGUGAAAUAAGACGACAUUUGGACUUCCUGAAGGAGAGGGUCCUUUCCCUUCACAUUAACAAGGAGUCAGGACGUGAGGCCUGCACCUGUCUUCACAUUUCUGGGAGAAGUGACUGAAGUUCAGACAGUGAACAAGUAAUUGAGAACAAGCAUCAGAUAAACCCAGAAGCUGUGCUGCACCUUUGGGAAGACAUUCUGAUGCACUGAAAGACUUCACUCAUUGGUGUACCUAGAGAAGCUUUCCCUAUGGAAAGAAGCUAUUCUAAGGACAUGGAAAAGAACAGCUAAUGACUAAUCGAGCCUCUGACUUUCUCUGAUGCGAUAAAAAGGACAAAAGGAAGAGCCUACAGGAACCAGCGCAGCCAGACUCUUGUCUUUGUCCAGCACUGCCUUUUAAUUUGUGUGAGAGAACAGCAGGAGAGAUCACUUCAUGCUGUGUGUAUUGCUGGCAUGCGGAGUCAGGAAAAACAGACGCUCCUGAUUUGCUUUGAGAAUGACUCCCUAAUCCAGGAUGCUCUUCUGUUAAUGAAGCAGCCCCAUGGUGCUAGGGCAGCCCAGUAACUUUUGUUGUAAUAUUUAAAUCCUGUGCACACGGCAGCAUUUCUUGCCAGCUCUGCUCUGCUAGCUCUUGUUACGUUUAUAAGUGUGUUAGGUUUUCAGGUUUUCAUUUUUUAAGUUAUCCCAAUAAAAAAAGAGAUGAGUCUUUCUCACUGAUUUGUGAUCAUCCUGUUUUUGUCACAGUUGUCUUAUUUUGAAUGUAAAUGACCUAGAUUUAAUUUUCUAACCCGAAAAGGAGGUGUAACGUAGAAGAUCCAACAACUAAAACUAUGCAGAAUAUACUUU